AAGCGAAACGGGCGGCUGCCGCCGCCCGUCCUCCCGCGCGUGGCGGCGCGGGACUGACGAGCCAGCCGGAA
rnacentral:hammerhead_ribozyme from 1 species